ensembl:snoRNA U8 U8 small nucleolar RNA
UGACAAGGUGGGAUGAUCCUUACUAAUCCUCUUGUCAGGGGGUAAGACAGAACAUGAAUAAAAUUUGUAUCAAUUGUGAUUAGUAUCUUUGUAUAAUCAGGACAUGCAACACCCUGCUUGUUCCUUUCUGAU